rnacentral:rRNA from 1 species
GACGAACGCUGGCGGCAUGCCUAAUACAUGCAAGUCGAGCGAACAGAUGAAGUGCUUGCACUUCUGACGUUAGCGGCGAACGGGUGAGUAACACGUAAGGAAUCUACCUAUAAGCGGGGGAUAACAUUCGGAAACGGGUGCUAAUACCGCAUAGUAUCUUCUUCCGCAUGGAAGAAGAUUGAAAGACGGCUCUGCUGUCACUUAUAGAUGACCUUGCGGUGCAUUAGUUAGUUGGUGGGGUAACGGCCUACCAAGACGAUGAUGCAUAGCCGACGUGAGAGGGUGAUCGGCCACAUUGGGACUGAGACACGGCCCAAACUCCUACGGGAGGAAGCAGUAGGGAAUCUUCCGCAAUGGGCGAAAGCCUGACGGAGCAAUGCCGCGUGAGUGAAGAAGGCCUUCGGGUCGUAAAACUCUGUUAUAAGAGAAGAACAAAUUGUAGAGUAACUGCUACAGUCUUGACGGUAUCUUAUCAGAAAGCCACGGCUAACUACGUGCCAGCCGCCGCCGUAA